rnacentral:rRNA from 1 species
AUUGUACGCUGGCGGCAGGCCUAACACAUGCAAGUCGAACGGUAACAGGAAGCUUCUUUCUGCUUUGCUUAUGAGUGGCGGACGUGUGAGUCAUGUCUGUGAAACUGCCUUAUGUAGGGUGAUAACUACUGGAAACGGUUGCUAAUACCUCAUAACUUCUCUUGCCCAAAGAGGUGGUCCUUAUGGCCUCUUUCCUUCGGAUUUGCCCAGCUGGGAUUUGCUAGUAGGUGGGGUAACGGCUCACCUAGGCGACGAUCCCUAGCUGGUCUGAGAGGUUGACAAGCAACACGGGAACAGAGACACGGACCAGAGUACUACGGGAGGCAGCAGUGGGGAAGAUUGGACAAUGGGCGAAAGCAUGAAGCAGCGAUGCCGCGUGGAUGAAGAAGGAAUGCGGGUUGUAAAGUACUGUAAGCGGGGAGGAAGGGAGUAAAGUUAAAAAAUUGGCGAAUUGACGUUAGCAGAAGAAGAAGCACCGGCUAACUACGUG